CCUGUGGAGCCACUCUCUAGCCAAUGCGUGUUUGGGUUGGUUCCAGUUUUGCCUGUUACAAAUGCAGCUGCGGUGAACAUUCGUGUCCAAGUCCGCGUGGACAUGAGUUUUCCUUUCUCUGGGAUAAAUGCCUAGGAGGGGAAUGGCCUGACCAUAUGGAAGGUGUAUGCUCCACUUUUGAAAAAGCUACCAAAUGUUUUCCAGAGUGCUUGAACCAUUUUCCACUCCCAUCAGCAGAGGAGGAGGGUCCCAGAGGAGGGUGGGGACUGGAACCCCGGCUCAGCCCACUACAGAGCUUGUGUCCCUCACUGCCAGGCCCCAGCCCUCCAGGACCGUCUGUCUCAGCUGGCCUUGCGCCCCCGGGGCCUCUGGGCUGCAGGAGAGGGACCAACCCACAGCAGGGGGCUGGGCUGCCAUCUCGCCCUCCCCUCCAGAGGUCUGGCUUCCCUUUCCAGCAGAGAGCUGCCUUCCCCAGCCCCCCACCCUCUGCCUUCCCCAGCCCCCCACACUCUGCCUUCUCUGGCCCCCCUGGACGACAAAGCUGGGCACACAGCGGGUGCCCGGCAGAUGUCGCUGGGCCCAGGAAGCAAUGGGCUGGACCUCCCUGGGUUCUUGUCUCUGGCUGUGUGAGGGGGCCUGGGGCCUCCCAGGCCCCCUGACAAAGGCUCCUGGGUGGUGGGGGGAACGCUGAGGGUUUCACUGGGCUCCUUACCAAGCUGGUGAGAGGCAGACGCUUUACCGUCUGAGCCACCAGGGAAGCCCUGUGAUGGGGAAGCAGAUGGCAAAGCACACUGGUACCUCCGAGGCCCGCCUUUCCUAGGUGAGAAAGCAAGACUCAGAGAGGUGAGGUCACUUGCCCAGGGUCACCCAGCUGGUAAUGGGAAGUGCCACACUCUGGGCCGUCCAGAAGGAGAUGGGGAAACUGAGGCCCAGAGAGGUGAAAACAACUUCCCACGGCCUUGCUAACCCAAACCCCACUGAACGUGAGGCCCACGCGAAUCUGCGUUCCAGGAGGUUGUAGGGGGCGUGCAGGGAGGGGAAGAAGUUAGGGAAUGGGGUGUUUUCUGCUCCCCAGGGUUGUCCUCCGGCCUUCCCUGGCCCCUCAGUCAAUCGGCUUGUCCAUCAGCCACAAGGGAGAUGUAGAUGUAGCCGUGAUUCUGGGGGACAGCGACAGAGUCCAGGCUCCUGAGAUAAUGGAGAGAGUGCCUGGUGGGGGCAGAGGACACAAAAGAUGCUGUGAGGAUCUGACAUACAUGAGACACACGUGUACACACACCACACGUCAUAUUCAUACAUGCAGCACACACCACACAUGCCACAUGCACACCCCUUCACACACACUGUGUAUAACACACAGCCCACACACUCCAUACUGAACAUACAUACCACAAACAACACACCAUACCUCACAUACACAUACCACAAACAACACACUAUACCUCACACACACAUACCACAUACACACACACACACCAUACAUAAUACCUAACACCCUUUGCGUGGACCCCUUCACCCAGUCCCCACAAUCACCCACAAUCAGUGAAGUAGGUGCCGUCAAUACCCCCAUUUUAAUGAUUGGGAAACUGAGGCUCAAGGAUUUGGAGCUUGGAACAGAUGGAAGUGUCAUGGAACACAGGUCAGCCUGUCUCCAGAAGCCACACUGAACGUUCCCUCCGAUGCACAAACAACAAAAUCAAGAACCAAGACACCACCUCCCUGCAGACAGAGCCCCUCCCGGCUGACUUAGGCACCAUCUGGGGCCACGAGGUCCCCCUCUGGGGCAUGGAGGCAUUUUGGAGGCGAGAGGGAGGCCGGGACUGGAUGCCAGCAGGAGGAGAGAGCCCCCUUCACCUGAGGGACACGGACCACUCCACCUCCUCAUGGGAGGACGUAGGGAAGAACCUGACCCAGACCACCCAGACUGCAUCCGACACCAUGGCUUCCACAUCCCAGGACCCCCAGGCAGGAGGGUGAGGGGCUUCCUUCCCCUGCCUCCGUGAGGACUGGGGCCCUGGACCCUGUUUUCCCCGAGGCCAUUUUCCCCACCCAGCCCUGGUCCAGCACGGCCCCACCAGCCAGUACCUAGGGAAGGGGAGGGGGAUCCUGCGUCCCCCAGCCUCCCUGGUCCUCCCUGUGCACCCUCAGGACAGCAGCUCUCUGAUGCCAGCAAUACUGCGUGCUGGGGAAGGCCAACCUGUUCUCUGCAGCCCUGAAAGGGCAAGACUGGACACAACCUCUGUGCCCAUCCUUCGGGGAGUGGACCUCCGCCUGCAGGAGCAUGCGCACAAGAGAACACUCAGCAGCCACGAGACAGAGUGGGGUCGCCACACAUAUAAACCUGGAAGUGACAGUGUCUCAGGCAUGUCUGACCAUUUGUGACCCCGUGGACUGUAGCCUGCCAGGCUUCUCUGUCCAUGGGAUUCUCCAGGCAAGAAUACUGGAGUCAGUUGCCAUUUCUCUUCGCCAGGGGAUCUUCCCAACCCAGGGAUCGAACUUGAGUCUCCUGCUUGGCAGGCAGAUUCUUUACCAUCUGAGCCACCAAGGAAGCCCGUAGACCCGGAAAGGAGAUCGUCAUGUGUAAAGGAAAAUAAAGCGCUAAACAGGAUGUAUGGCACUGCUUGGCUUUUAUCAAAAGUAUUGAUAUGUGUUUCCAUUGACAGAAAAACCUGGAAGUCUUCGUGGUCAAUUCUGGACGCAGGGUAUCUGGGGAGCUGAACUGUGAGGAGGAGGGAGGGAGAUGACUUUACUAUUUUCUUUACACCUUCUGCUCUGUGACAAUGAAGACGGCUCAUUUUGCUAAUUAAAAAAAUAAGCAAAUAGUGGUAGGCGUGGAGUGGGGCAUCCUGAGUGUCUUCCAAAGAUACAAGAACUUCCUUCCCAACCUCAGUUCAGACAAAAGUGGGGGCUCCAUUCACAAGGCUGGGGCUCUCUUCUCCUCUCUGAUGCCUCAGUGGUGGUCAAGGGGUGGACUGCUGGGUGGUUUUCAGCAUCACUCUCCUAAUUUGGGACCAAGAGGCGUUCUGAGAAAACCAGCAGAGUCUUGGCCUGGAGAAGCCUGAAAUCUUUGGAGUAAGACAGGUGGGUACAUCCUCACAGAGAUAAAAGCCAUCAUCCCACGGGCGAGAGGUGGCGGUGGGGUGGGGGCACCUCCCUGCGCUCGGUGCUCCGCCCAGAUCUUCACACACAUCGGCUCACUGACCACAGUGCUGUGGGUGUUCUCAUUUUACUGAUGAGGAAACUGCCUCAGAGAGGGGCCCGGCGGGGAGCAGACCCAGUGGGUCUGUGCUCCAGCCUCUUCAAGGACAGAGUCAUCCCGCCAUCAAGUCAUCCCCGAGAGGCAAUGGAGACACCAGACGGACGCAGGCUGAGGCUCCGGAAGGCGAAGUGACUUGCCCGAGGUCUCCUCACUAGAAAGAGACGAGCGUCAGGAUUCAGGCCAAGCUAGCGGUGGACAUGUGACCGAGUUCUGGCCAAUGAGGUGAAGGCAAAAGAUGCUGGGGAAGAUUCCCUUUCCUGAGUUACACAGCAAAAAUUCCAAGGAAUUCACCCUGCCCCCUUCUUCCUGCUUGGAAUGUGGACGUGAUGACCAGAGGUGCAGCAGCCAUCUUAUAACCAAGAGGAGCUCCCGAGUGCCCCGUUAGGGACAGUGCCCAGUGCUCUGCUGUGUACUCAGCGCUCCAGGUCUUGCUGUGUCAGAGACAGUGUGAGAUUUCCAAAUGUUCUUUUUGGGGAAGAGUAUCUCUUCAUUUCAGAGAAGGCAAUGGCACCCCACUCCAGUACUCUUGCCUGGAAAAUCCCAUGGACGGAGGAUCCUGGAAGGCUGCAGUCCAUGGGGUCGCUGAGGGUCAGACACGACUGAGUGA